rnacentral:tRNA from 1 species
GGCAAGAUGGCUGAAAAAGCAUAGGAUUGUAAAUCCUUGAAUGUAGGUGAAAGUCUUACUCUUCGCCA